UACAGAGGGUGCUAGCGUUGUUCGGAAUCAUUGGGCGUAAAGGGCGUGUAGGCGGUUUGUUAAGUCAUGUGUGAAAUCCCUCGCUUAACCGAGGAACUGCCUGUCAAACUGCAUGGCUUGAGACCGGGAGAGGUGAGUGGAAUUCCCAGUGUAGCGGUGAAAUGCGUAGAUAUUGGGAGGAACACCAGUGGCGAAGGCGGCUCACUGGACCGGUACUGACGCUGAUGCGCGAAAGCGUGGGGAGCAAACAGG
rnacentral:rRNA from 1 species